rnacentral:rRNA from 1 species
UGAAUACGAGAUGCUACGGCGUCGAAGCAGUCUAUGUCAUACUUCCAAGAAAAGCUUGCACUGUCAUAAACAAAUAAUGCCUGUACCAUAACCGACACAGGUGGGUAGGUAGAGUAUACUAAGGGGCGCGAGAUAACUCUCUCUAAGGAACUCGGCAAAAUGACUCCGUAACUUCGGGAGAAGGAGUGCCUUAUUUAUAAGGUUGCAAUAACAAGACCCAAGCAACUGUUUAUCAAAAACACAGGUCUCCGCUAAGUCGUAAGACGAUGUAUGGGGGCUGACGCCUGCCCAGUGCCAGAAGGUUAAAGAAGUUGGUUAGCAUUAGCGAAGCUGAUGACUGAAGCCCUGGUGAACGGCGGCCGUAACAAUAACGGUCCUAAGGUAGCGAAAUUCCUUGUCGGGUAAGUUCCGACCCGCACGAAAGGCGUAAUGAUUUGGGUACUGUCUCAGAGAGGGACUCGGUGCAAUAGACUUGUCUGUGAAGAUGCGGACUACCUGCACCUGGACAGAAAGACCCUAUGAAGCUUUACUGUAACCUGAAAUUGAAAUUGACUUUAUUUGCGCAGUAUAGGUGGGAGGCUUUGAAGAUAUUCUUGCGGGAAUGUUGGAGCCAUCAGUGAGAUACCACUCUUGUAAUGUUAGAUUUCUAACUUUGUAUCAUUCUCUGGUCAAAGAACAGUUUCAGGCGGGCAGUUUGACUGGGGCGGUCGCCUCCUAAACGGUAACGGAGGCGCACAAAGGUUUCCUCUGAACGGGUAGAAAUCGUAUCUAGAGUGUAAAGGCAUAAGGAAGCUUGACUGUGAGACCUACAAGUCGAGCAGGGACGAAAGUCGGUCUUAGUGAUCUGACGGUGCUGAGUGGAAAGGCCGUCACUCAACGGAUAAAAGUUACUCUAGGGAUAACAGGCUGAUCUCCCCCAAGAGUUCACAUCGACGGGGAGGUUUGGCACCUCGAUGUCGGCUCAUCGCAUCCUGGGGCGGUAGUACGUCCCAAGGGUUGGGCUGUUCGCCCAUGAAAGCGGUACGCGAGCUGGGUUCAGAACGUCGUGAGACAGUUCGGUCCAUAUCCGGUGUAGGCGUUAGAAUAUUGAGAGGAGCCUUCUCUAGUACGAGAGGACCGAGAAGGACACACCUCUGGUGUACCAGUUAUCGUGCCAACGGUAAACGCUGGGUAGCUAUGUGUGGAGCGGAUAACCGCUGAAAGCAUCUAAGUGGGAAGCCCACCUCAAGAUAAG